AGCGGGGCGGCAGGCUUGCCUGCCGUUGCCGGCGACCGGCGCACGGGUGAGUAACACGUAUGCAACCUGCCCGUGGCAGGGGGAUAAGCGGGGGAAACCCCGUCUAAUACCGCGUAACGCGGCCUAGGGACAUCCCAAGGCCGCCAAAGGGAGCAAUCCCGGCCACGGAUGGGCAUGCGGCGCAUUAGCUAGUCGGCGGGGUAACGGCCCACCGAGGCGACGAUGCGUAGGGGUUCUGAGAGGAAGGCCCCCCACACUGGUACUGAGACACGGACCAGACUCCUACGGGAGGCAGCAGUGAGGAAUAUUGGUCAAUGGGCGCGAGCCUGAACCAGCCAAGUCGCGUGAGGGAGGACGGCCCUACGGGUUGUAGACCUCUUUUGCCGGGGAGCAACGGGCGUCACGUGUGGCGCCACUGAGAGUACCCGGAGAAAAAGCAUCGGCUAACUCCGUGCCAGCAGCCGCGGUAAUACGGAGGAUGCGAGCGUUAUCCGGAUUUAUUGGGUUUAAAGGGUGCGUAGGCGGAUCGUUAAGUCAGUGGUCAAAUUGAGGGGCUCAACCCCUUCCCGCCAUUGAAACUGGCGUUCUUGAGUGGAAGAGAAGUAUGCGGAAUGCGUGGUGUAGCGGUGAAAUGCAUAGAUAUCACGCAGAACCCCGAUUGCGAAGGCAGCAUGCCGGCUUCCGACUGACGCUGAAGCACGAAAGCGUGGGGAUCGAACA
rnacentral:rRNA from 1 species